rnacentral:rRNA from 1 species
GACGAACGCUGGCGGCGUGCUUAACACAUGCAAGUCGAACGAUGAAGCUAGAGCUUGCUCUGGUGGAUUAGUGGCGAACGGGUGAGUAACACGUGAGUAACCUGCCCCGAACUCUGGGAUAACUGCUGGAAACGGUAGCUAAUACCGGAUAUGACCAAUGAAGGCAUCUUCUGUUGGUGGAAAGAAUUUCGGUUCGGGAUGGACUCGCGGCCUAUCAGCUUGUUGGUGAGGUAACGGCUCACCAAGGCGACGACGGGUAGCCGGCCUGAGAGGGUGAUGGGCCACACUGGGACUGAGACACGGCCCAGACUCCUACGGGAGGCAGCAGUGGGGAAUAUUGCACAAUGGGCGCAAGCCUGAUGCAGCAACGCCGCGUGAGGGACGACGGCCUUCGGGUUGUAAACCUCUUUUAGUAGGGACGAAGCGAAAGUGACGGUACCUAAAGAAGAAGCACCGGCUAACUACGUGCCAGCCGCCGUAAUAC